UUAUUAUCAUAAUUUGCUGUUAAAAUUAGUCUUUGUUUCAUCUUUCAACUAACAGGUACCCCUGGAACUCUAUGAGAAGCACCUUGGACAGUGACUGAAUAACCUCAGCUUUCUCAACCCAGUUCACCUUACUGUCCUUUCCAGAGGCAGGGCUGCUUUAAUUACCUUGGCAUGGCACAUCCUUUCUUCUUGGUGUAUCUUUAGCUAUAAUUUAGGACUGUACUACUGGGAACUGCCAGAUGACUGUAAACAAGUUUUUUUUAACAGGUGUUUACUGAAGUGAGCAAGGAUUUGGAGCUGUUUGGAGCCUGAGUGGCAGAUGAGACUGACUUGGGGUACAAGUGUGAGUUAUACCCCGAAGGCUGCUGCAGCAGGAUGCCUAGACAACACCCAGGCCACCUUCAAACCUGCAGAGCUGAGGGAAUCUUGCAUAAGGGGUCCCUAAUUGCACAGUGAUUAGGCUUGUGAAAGAACAUACUCUAACUGGAGUAAAUUAUCCAGCUGGGUAGAUUAAAGCAGAAACCAGGAUUUGUCUUUGACUGAUUCCUCCUCCUUGACCUCACCACUGCUCAGAGUCAGUGCCAGUUCCCACAGACCACCAGUCUGCUGUGCAGCAUUCAUCACACUUAAGUCUUCUCUCAACAAUCUUCUCCAUGAGGACAAAGAUCCUGGCUUUCUCUUCCUAAUGAGUGUGAGGCUGUCGGGGAUGGCUUGCAGAUGCCAUGGGAGUUUGUGAGGAAGGGGAAGCAGAAGCAGCUCUGGGCAUGGGGGACUGCUACAGGUAAGGGGAGUGCCACUGCUGUGGUGCAGGGAAGGCUGCGUGGAAAACAAGCAGGAUUUCUGCCUCCUCCAACUUGAGACUACACUGGGAACUAGUCUCAUUACUAUGGCUCAAGGUUACCAGGUCUACAGGAGGAUGUUGCUCAGAGAUCUGUGAGAACAAAUAAGCCCAGGGCAGAAGCAGCUGCUAACUCUAUGGCAGAGCUGCAGAAUCUGUUGACAGACUAAAUGUGGAAUAUGAAAGAAACAGAAGAAUUGAGGAUGACAAAGUUUUGCCCUGAACAAAUGGAAGGAUUGAAUUGCAUUUGGUGAGAUGGAAGACUUCUGAAAGCCUAGAUCACAUCUGAAUAAGGAGCUUGGUGUCCUCUACCUGUUCCAUCGGCACACGACUGGCACCAAAGGGGUCCUCCUUUGGAGAAAACCAGCAUUCAAACG